rnacentral:lncRNA from 1 species
GAAGAAUAUGUCCAUGAAAAGAUACUGGAUGAAGCACAAAUAUCAAGGAUAUUCCACUAAUUUCAUGGAGUAUAGAAGUCAAAGCUUUAACCAACUGAGUAUAAGAGAAUAUAUGAAACUGCAAAUGGAUUUUCGUCCGCUAUGCGGUAAUCCACUUAGACAGAUCAUUUCCACAAUUUAAUAAGGAAUGAAUACAAAGGAUCAUUCACCAUGCAUGUGAUAAUCCACAUAGACAGGUUAUUCAAACAGAAUAAUAAAUAAUGGAAUAACAGAAGAAAUCACCAUGUAUGCG